GGUUGCAAUCCCCACUUUUGCCUUUCAUCUGGGUUGGCGCAAACUCAGCGACGAACAUCCACGAAAAUCCGCAGAUGCAUUGUCAACGAACAUUAUCAAGAUACAUCAUUUAAAAUCUAUCGCGACUCAGAAUUUUAUGAUUCUUCAAGAAAAUAUAAGGCAGUAGCAUAUAUCGCUAGUGAAAAAUCCUAUGAAAGGAAGAUUCUUUGACUAAAGAUAGAAACCAAGUCACUCUACAAAUGGGUUUCUUGCGCAUAAGGAUGUAGCGUAAACUUUGUACAUGAUUAUUUCGUGGUCUCCGUAAUUCUUUGAACUGCGUCCUUAAAUACGCAACAUUUAUGUCGUGUUAUCCAUUUUUUUUAAUAACACUAUGUGUUACAGACCAGCCGUUUACUAGUUUUUAAAGGAUGGGAUUUUUGGGAUAGGAAAAAAUAAAUCAUUGUAAAUUUAUAAUAAAAAUAAA